ACGGCUGCCCGGCGAAGGAAACCGAAACCGAGUCCGGGCCCGUCCCUCCGCGGCCCCAUCCGCCCCGUGCACCCGGGGCCGCGCUCGCCAGGCCGCGGAGCCCAGAGCUGCGCGCACGAACCGGGCGCCGGGAGGGCGUGGCGCCGAAGGGUCCCGGGUCUUCGACGCCUCUGCGGCGGCUCCUCCCUCCUUGCAGUUGGAUCCCUGGCGGGUGCGGCUCGGCCCGGCCCGUGAGCGGCGCACAGAAUGGGCCGGUGCUGCUUCUACACGGCGGGGACGUUGUCCCUGCUCCUGCUGGUGACCAGCGUCACGCUGCUGGUGGCCCGGGUCUUCCAGAAGGCUGUAGACCAGAGUAUCGAGAAGAAAAUUGUGUUAAGGAAUGGUACUGAGGCAUUUGACUCCUGGGAGAAGCCCCCUCUGCCUGUGUAUACUCAGUUCUAUUUCUUCAAUGUCACCAAUCCAGAGGAGAUCCUCAGAGGGGAGACCCCUCGGGUGGAAGAAGUGGGGCCAUACACCUACAGGGAACUCAGAAACAAAGCAAAUAUUCAAUUUGGAGAUAAUGGAACAACAAUAUCUGCUGUUAGCAACAAGGCCUAUGUUUUUGAACGAGACCAAUCUGUUGGAGACCCUAAAAUUGACUUAAUUAGAACAUUAAAUAUUCCUGUAUUGACUGUCAUAGAGUGGUCCCAGGUGCGCUUCCUCAGGGAGAUCAUCGAGGCCAUGUUGAAAGCCUAUCAGCAGAAGCUCUUUGUGACUCACACAGUUGACGAAUUGCUCUGGGGCUACAAAGAUGAAAUCUUGUCCCUUAUCCAUGUUUUCAGGCCCGAUAUCUCUCCCUAUUUUGGCCUAUUCUAUGAGAAAAAUGGGACUAAUGAUGGAGACUAUGUUUUUCUAACUGGAGAAGACAGUUACCUUAACUUUACAAAAAUUGUGGAAUGGAAUGGGAAAACGUCACUUGACUGGUGGAUAACAGACAAGUGCAAUAUGAUUAAUGGAACAGAUGGAGAUUCUUUUCACCCACUAAUAACCAAAGAUGAGGUCCUUUAUGUCUUCCCAUCUGACUUUUGCAGGUCAGUGUAUAUUACUUUCAGUGACUAUGAGAGUGUACAGGGACUGCCUGCCUUUCGGUAUAAAGUUCCUGCAGAAAUAUUAGCCAAUACGUCAGACAAUGCCGGCUUUUGUAUACCUGAGGGAAACUGCCUGGGCUCAGGAGUUCUGAAUGUCAGCAUCUGCAAGAAUGGUGCACCCAUCAUUAUGUCUUUCCCACACUUUUACCAGGCAGAUGAGAGGUUUGUUUCUGCCAUAGAAGGCAUGCACCCAAAUAAGGAAGACCAUGAGACAUUUGUGGACAUUAAUCCUUUGACUGGAAUAAUCCUAAAAGCAGCCAAGAGGUUCCAAAUCAACAUUUAUGUCAAAAAAUUAGAUGACUUUGUUGAAACGGGAGACAUUAGAACCAUGGUUUUCCCAGUGAUGUACCUCAAUGAGGUAAGUCCUGAGACGGAGGGAGCCACGGGUGUUUUCAGACUCAGAAAAAAUCCAUUAUGAUGUCUACUGUUGUAGUUACAUGUAAGUUAUGACAGAAGGGCAAAAGAUUUUUAAACCUGUUAUUCCUCAGAAAAUUUCACUUAAAUGUUCACAUGAAUCUGCCUGUGUCUGAGAGCUGAUUUGGAGAAAUGAUGGAAAGAAAUUUUCCUUCUCAAGAACACUAUUUGGGCAAAACUCCCUUCUGGGGAGCUGCUCACGUAGGAAACAGAAACAGGUAAAAGGAGCCAUUGGCAGACAUUGUUGAAGCAGGGAAAUAGCUCACACUCAGAUAGAUGCCAGCUAGCCCUUUGUCUCCCCCUUCUUUGAAACCAUGCUGGUUUAAGACACCUGUGAUAAAUUCUUUUCUGAAUCACAUAUCACAUUUACUGUAGUUAUAUCUCCUCAGUUUCUCCUGCUUCCGCCCAGUUUGAGGGAAAAAAAAAAAAAAAACGCAGGUUUUUUUCUUCAAUAAAUUCUUGAUUGGCACACCUCUCCUUUUUAUUAUUUUUGUGUUUCCUAAAAAUACUUGCUGUUUGUAGAAUAUUGAAUAACAGAGAUUAGCAAGAAAAAGAAAAAUUAAAAUCACUAUUCACAAAAUCUGUGUCAGCCUGAUAAUAUUUUUAUUUUAUUUUACUCAAUGUGUUGUACAAUUUUUUCCAAUAACAACUUUAAAAGGUAAUCUAAUGUUUUACAUUUUAUAAAACAUGUGCUCUUUAUAGAAUUCUUAGAAAUUUUUUAAAAAAUUGAUUUAAAAAGUAAAUUACUGAUAAGUCUCUCUCUCUCAGAGGCAGGUGCAGUUCAGAUGUCAACUCCUGAUAUUUUCUGGUCUUGAUAUUACAUAGUUGAAAUCAUACGAUAGAUACAAUUUUAUAUCUUUUUUCUCCAUUUAGCAUUAUAUUGGUAUUCACAUUUACAAACUUUUAAGGGUUUGUGAUUACAAUUCUAAGAUGAGGUUUUUAUCGUUUCAUAGGAAAAAUUCAGGCAAUAUUUACCAAUUUAUAGGAUCUCUUUGCAAUUGCUCCUGAUCAUCCAUGUUCCUGUUUGUGGGCAGGGGCAUGAAAGUAGAUCUUUUUGAAAAUGCAGAAGGGCCCUUUUCUGCCAACUUCUGUUCAGUAGUGGCAUAUUUGAAGUCCCUCCACCCCCAACUUCUAAUUUGCUUUUUUGUGAAAGACUAGAUUAAGUCCAGGUGUGUGGAGUGGAACCUUGUAUUUUUGCUGCCUCCUAGGAAGAGCGUGAUUAUUCUCUUCUCUAGAAAAAUAAAAUAUUAGACCUGGAAGUCUGGAAGUGACAUUGGAGACUGUUGCCACACCACCUUUUUACUGAGGAGGAAACUCUAUCCAGUUAUUAGAAAAAAAUGUCUUAGAACCCAAUCCACUGACUCGGUCCAAUGAAAAAAAAUGCUUUCUUUUCUUUUUUUUUUUUUUUUUUUUUUUGAGACAAGGUCUCACUCUCACCCUGUACAGUGGUGCGAUUUUGGCUCACUGCAGCCUCGACUUCCCGGGCUCAAGUGAUCCUCCCACCUCUGCCUUCCAAGUAGCUGGAACUACAGGUGUGUGCCACCAUGCCCGGCUAAUUUUUUUUUUUUUUUCCUGAGAUGGAGUCUUGCUCUGUUGCCCAGGCUGGAGUGCAGUGGCCCAAUCUCAGCUCACUGCAACCUCUGCCUCCUGGGUUCAAGCAAUUCUUGUGCCUCGGCCUCCCAAGUAGCUGGGACUACAGGCGCCCGCCACCACCCCUGGCUAAUUUUUGUAUUUUUAGCAGAGAUGAGGUUUCACCAUGUUGAAACUCAUGACCUUAAGUGAUCUGCCCACCUUGGCCUCCCAAAAUGCUGGGAUUACAGUCAUGAGCCACCAUGCCCAGCCCCAGCUAAUUUUUGUAUUUUUUGUAGAGAGGUGGUUUCACCACAUUGCUCAGGCUGGUCUCAAACUUUUGAGCUCAAGCAAUCCGCCUGCCUUGGCCUCCCAAAGUGCUGGGAUUACAGGCGUGUGCAACUAUGCCAGGCUUCCAAUGCAAAUUAAGCCUAAACUAGGCCAGAAUUGUUGCUCAUAAUUUCUAUGGAAUUAAGCUCUUCAGAUACCUCACUCAUUACACUAGGUGGUAAUUCCUCUGCUCUGCAUACACUAAGUGUUAUUCUAGUACAUUUCCUUCUAUCAGCAGUCUCUGGAAUUCUAGUUAGCCCACAACUUUGCUGAGCACUUUCUGUAGAGGGCUGUGGUCCUGAUUACUAUAGAUGUAACCAAGAAAGAAAUUAUACUUUCCACAUACCAUUUUUGCAGUGUUUCAUUUAUUUAUUCAUUUAAUCAGCCAGCAUUAAUCAAGCACCUACUGUGUGCUGGGUGCUAUACCCAGUGUGGAGGUGACUGAGGUUAAGUCUUGCCUUCAGGGACUUCACAGCCAUUGCAAGACAAACAGUUACAAUGCAGAGUGCAAGGACAAUGAUGGAAGUAGAGAGUGAGAUGGAAACUUAGGGAGGAGGCCUUUGACUAGGCCUGAGGUAGCCAGAGAAAACUUUUGGAAGGAAGUGAUGCUGAGCUGGAUUUUUAAGGAUGAAUUGGAAUUAUCUGACAUAAAACAAAAGGUGAUACUGUCUCAAUAUUUCUGAAUACAUUUUACCUCCUUUUUCCAAUCUAUUUUAAGAGUAAAAAAAAUGUCUUCAGGAGAAGACAAGAUAUUAAUGAAUAAAUGUCCCUUCUGAUUACUCUGACUUAUAAAUGGAUUUUCAGUAUGUUUGGUUUGCUAACAGGAGGACAUUCCCAAAUUGUAUUAAAUAAAGGAAAGAUAUAGCAAAAAACAGUUACACACUGGAUGUUUAGUCAUCAAGAAUACUAUUUUCUUGCCUCUCCAGAGUGUUCACAUUGAUAAAGAGACGGCGAGUCGACUGAAGUCUAUGAUUAACACUACUUUGAUUAUCACCAACAUACCCUACAUCAUCAUGGCGCUGGGUGUGUUCUUUGGUUUGGUUUUUACCUGGCUUGCAUGCAAAGGACAGGGAUCCAUGGAUGAGGGAACAGCGGAUGAAAGAGCACCCCUCAUUCGAACCUAAACAUUGCCUUUGCUUGGUGAAGAAACUGUGUGAGCUGUCCUGACCUGGACGAUGACGUGGGGAAACCCUCCACCUCCUUGCAGGCUUGUUGCCUGUUGAAAGAAGGAAAAAGACACGGCGCUGGCAAGUGAUAGGAACAUUCUGGCCAGAGGUUAAAGAGCAGGCUGACAUGGCUGGCCAUUAAGCUUUAUAAAAUCAUGUGGGCUCUGAAAUUGUUCUUUUAUGUGUCUAGCAAGUAUUUAAUAAACCCUUGUAU
rnacentral:sRNA from 1 species